GAUGAACGCUAGCGGCAGGCUUGAUACAUGCAAGUCGAGGGACAGCACAGGUAGCAAUACUGGGUGGUAACCGGCAAACGGGUGCGGAACACGUACACAACCUUCCUUUAAGUGGGGGAUAGCCCAGAGAAAUUUGGAUUAAUACCCCGUAAUAUAGUUGAAUGGCAUCAUUUGAUUAUUAUAGCUACGGCGCUUAAUGAUGGGUGUGCGGCUGAUUAGAUAGUUGGCGGGGUAACGGCCCACCAAGUCUACGAUCAGUAGCUGAUGUGAGAGCAUGAUCAGCCACACGGGCACUGAGACACGGGCCCGACUCCUACGGGAGGCAGCAGUAAGGAAUAUUGGUCAAUGGACGCAAGUCUGAACCAGCCAUGCCGCGUGAAGGAUUAAGGUCCUCUGGAUUGUAAACUUCUUUUAUUUGGGACGAAAAAGGGCCUUUCUAGGUCAACUGACGGUACCAGAUGAAUAAGCACCGGCUAACUCCGUGCCAGCAGCCGCGGUAAGAC
rnacentral:rRNA from 1 species